UGAAGGGGUGUCGUCUUUUCUUUUGAUUCUUUUUCGGGCCCUUUGGCGUAUUGCAGCAGUACUUGAAUGUGGUGGAAGUUGAGGACUGAGAACAGGACUUGACAGGAACACAGGGCUAAAAACAAGGGCUGCGUGAGGUUUCCCAGUGUCACGGAAUGCGAAAGGAAACAAGCAUUCAUAUAUGGCUCAAAUGCGUUCUACCUUCUCUGCUCGCCAUGUUUACCCUUCUCGAGUGACGAAAGCGUUUGGUUGAAAAUUACUAAAUAUCGGUUUUGGAAAGGACCUAGAGCUAUUGCAGACACACACAAGGGGAGGGAUAUCGAGUACAUCAACUGAAGGGUAUAAACACACUGGGAAGAAACCACAGCGAGUGAAGGACUGUCCGUCAUGUUGGGCCACUGACGCUUGCUGCCGGGAACCUCACUAAGCUGCAUCCUAAGAAAGAAGACCAAGGCCCUGAAUUACCUGUCUCAUCAGGGCUAUCAACACAAAUCCUGUCAUAAACCCAUCUCGCUCAGGAAACUGGACCCAGUGAAAUUGUCCAGAACUGUAACUAGAAUC